AGUCGAGCGAGCGGAACCAACAGAUUUACUUCGGUAAUGACGUUGGGAAAGCGAGCGGCGGAUGGGUGAGUAACACGUGGGGAACCUGCCCCUAAGUCUGGGAUACCAUUUGGAAACAGAUGCUAAUACCGGAUAAGAAAGCAGAUCGCAUGAUCAGCUUUUAAAAGGCGGCGUAAGCUGUCGCUAAGGGAUGGCCCCGCGGUGCAUUAGCUAGUUGGUAAGGUAACGGCUUACCAAGGCAACGAUGCAUAGCCGAGUUGAGAGACUGAUCGGCCACAUUGGGACUGAGACACGGCCCAAACUCCUACGGGAGGCAGCAGUAGGGAAUCUUCCACAAUGGACGCAAGUCUGAUGGAGCAACGCCGCGUGAGUGAAGAAGGUUUUCGGAUCGUAAAGCUCUGUUGUUGGUGAAGAAGGAUAGAGGUAGUAACUGGCCUUUAUUUGACGGUAAUCAACCAGAAAGUCACGGCUAACUACGUGCCAGCAGCCGCGGUAAUACGUAGGUGGCAAGCGUUGUCCGGAUUUAUUGGGCGUAAAGCGAGCGCAGGCGGAAAAAUAAGUCUGAUGUGAAAGCCCUCGGCUUAACCGAGGAACUGCAUCGGAAACUGUUUUUCUUGAGUGCAGAAGAGGAGAGUGGAACUCCAUGUGUAGCGGUGGAAUGCGUAGAUAUAUGGAAGAACACCAGUGGCGAAGGCGGCUCUCUGGUCUGCAACUGACGCUGAGGCUCGAAAGCAUG
rnacentral:rRNA from 1 species